GAUGAACGCUGGCGGCGUGCCUAAUACAUGCAAGUCGAGCGAACAGACGAGGAGCUUGCUCCUCUGACGUUCGCGGCGGACGGGUGAGUAACACGUGGAUAACCUACCUAUAAGACUGGGAUAACUUCGGGAAACCGGAGCUAAUACCGGAUAAUAUAUUGAACCGCAUGGUUCAAUAGUGAAAGACGGUUUUGCUGUCACUUAUAGAUGGAUCCGCGCCGCAUUAGCUAGUUGGUAAGGUAACGGCUUACCAAGGCAACGAUGCGUAGCCGACCUGAGAGGGUGAUCGGCCACACUGGAACUGAGACACGGUCCAGACUCCUACGGGAGGCAGCAGUAGGGAAUCUUCCGCAAUGGGCGAAAGCCUGACGGAGCAACGCCGCGUGAGUGAUGAAGGUCUUCGGAUCGUAAAACUCUGUUAUUAGGGAAGAACAAAUGUGUAAGUAACUAUGCACGUCUUGACGGUACCUAAUCAGAAAGCCACGGCUAACUACGUG
rnacentral:rRNA from 1 species